rnacentral:rRNA from 1 species
GANCUAGCUCGGUCUCGCGAAUGCUCUAGGAUUAAAGUUUGAUCAUGGCUCAGNCUUGAACGCUGGCGGCAGGCCUAACACAUGCAAGUCGAACGGUAACAGGAAGCAGCUUGCUGCUUUGCUGACGAGUGGCGGACGGGUGAGUAAUGUCUGGGAAACUGCCUGAUGGAGGGGGAUAACUACUGGAAACGGUAGCUAAUACCGCAUAACGUCGCAAGACCAAAGAGGGGGACCUUCGGGCCUCUUGCCAUCGGAUGUGCCCAGAUGGAAUUAGCUAGUAGGUGGGGUAACGGCUCACCUAGGCGACGAUCCCUAGCUGGUCUGAGAGGAUGACCAGCCACACUGGAACUGAGACACGGUCCAGACUCCUACGGGAGGCAGCAGUGGGGAAUAUUGCACAAUGGGCGCAAGCCUGAUGCAGCCAUGCCGCGUGUAUGAAGAAGGCCUUCGGGUUGUAAAGUACUUUCAGCGGGGAGGAAGGUGUUGAGGUUAAUAACCUCAGCAAUUGACGUUACCCGCAGAAGAAGCACCGGCUAACUCCGUGCCAGCAGCCACGGUAAUACGGAGGGUGCAAGCGUUAAUCGGAAUUACUGGGCGUAAAGCGCACGCAGGCGGUCUGUCAAGUCGGAUGUGAAAUCCCCGGGCUCAACCUGGGAACUGCAUUCGAAACUGGCAGGCUAGA